rnacentral:lncRNA from 1 species
GCGGCGGGGGCUGCUCCAGCAGACACCCCCAGUUUGCACAGGGGCGCCGGUGGCCGCGCUGCUCCCAGCUCCGGAUAGGGAGUCCCGUAAGGCGCCAAGAGCGACGAGCGGGCAGCGGCCGCCUCUCCAGCAGCUGUACAAGACUGUGAGGGAUAUCAGACACCCGGAGCCGGGGCAGAGGGACGGACUGCUAGGGUCAUGGCUGCAGGCGGCGAUCCCAGAACCCGGCGCCGGCCGAGUCCGGCUUUUCGGCGAAGCCCGCCUGCACUCUACGCCGCGCUGCUCUCACCGCCCCAGCGCUCUGUGGAGCUGGAGGUUCGCAGGGCGGGGGCGGGGCGUGACGGACAACGCGAUUGUCCAAUGAGAGGUUGCCUUUGGCAGAGGGGGCGGGAAGGGGCGGGGCCUCUCUCCCGCUGUAAGGGUCAGGCCGGGGACCGCAGCCUGAUCCUCCCUCCCUUGCUCUCUCCAGAGCCGCCCCGCCCCGCUAGGCUUCCAAGCGUUUGGCGUCCUCCCACCCGGAUCCAUUGCACACUGCGGGCCAGGCGUCGUUGGGAGCCCCGUGGCUCCUGCCCAGCCAACCUGCUCUCCUCUCUCAGUUCUCCUUUGGCACAAACCAAAAGGCCCAACUUCUACAACAGAUGCAGAAAUGUGAAAGCCUCAAGUCCUCCAAUUCCAGGUUAUUUUUCAUUACCCCUGGGAGCACUAGAUCUAAUGCCAGCACGGAUAUACUAUUUUGAUACUAAACACAUUUCUCAGAAACUUAGGCAGAGUGCCAUUUCAAGGAGCAGUUUCACAGCAUUGUCCCACGGUGUGGGAUCACCAUUGCUGUCCUUAAGUCUAGGCUUAGCUGCAUAUGGAGAAGAAUUGCUUUGUUCAGCAUUUGCCUCCCAAAAAUGUUGGGAAAAAUGUAUCCACAAAAUCCAAAAAGUUAUUUGUCUGUCAUGGCUUUCAUCAUUGCAGAAAUACCUUUUCUAUUGGAUAAUUUUGCUAGAUGUGAAAACCUGAGAUGGGGGUUUAUGUUCAAGUGAUUCAUUGAAUGUUGUCAAGGAGAAACAAGUGAGAGAGAAAAAAAAGCUGAUUAAAACACAGAAAGGGGUUAAACAAAAAUGUGGCCUCUGCUUAUGUCUCACUUCAGACAUGGAGUAUGUUAAGGACUACAGAGUGACUCGAAGCCUAGGGUGAGGUGAGCUGGUCUUCUCUACCCUUAACAU